rnacentral:rRNA from 1 species
CGAACGGGUGAGUAACGCGUGAGGAACCUGCCUCAAAGAGGGGGACAACAGUUGGAAACGACUGCUAAUACCGCAUAAGCCCACGGCUCGGCAUCGAGCAGAGGGAAAAGGAGCAAUCCGCUUUGAGAUGGCCUCGCGUCCGAUUAGCUAGUUGGUGAGGUAACGGCCCACCAAGGCGACGAUCGGUAGCCGGACUGAGAGGUUGAACGGCCACAUUGGGACCGAGACACGGCCCAG